rnacentral:tRNA from 1 species
GCAGGGAUACUCAAGCGGCCAAAGAGGGGGGUCUGUAAAACCCCUGCCCGUGCGGCUACGCAGGUUCGAAUCCUGCUCCCUGCA